UUAGAAAAUACAUUUUACCCUUCUAGAGAGAUCCAACACCCUAGAUUCCGCCGGAAGGCAGGAAUCCCGAUGCCGGAUUCUAGCCGGGUAUUACAUUCUUCCCCCCUUACAGAACAUUCGUCCCCGAAUGUUCCUCAACUACUCAUGCAUAAAAACAUAACAUAAGAACAUAUCAUCAUACAUACACAUCAAGCAAGCAAUCAAGCAAGCAAGACCUCUAAACUUUCUCCUAAAAGAGACACGGCAUUGCCGGAGUCAAAACUCCCGGUUCUCCUAAGAACACUCCUCAAACUGGGGUGAUUCUACAGGACCUCUCCAUCUGACUCUCCUUGUUCCAGAACUAACUAACUGAUGUGUCCAAGAUCCACAAUAGCUGCUCAACUCAGGUGAGAUCCCUUGGGACCUCCACCUCUGGUUCGUCAAGAACCCUACUUGGAUCUGACACGAACUUUAUAAAGUGGAACGUGGAAAUCCGAAUGGAUUCUCUCCCUUAUGAAUCACCCUUCUCAAAGGAGACACCUCAAGCAAUACCUCAACCUCCUCCUGAACUCCUCCUGCUUCCACUGCGCUACUCUGAUCUUCUCUUCUGAUCCGCAAGGAUCCAUCCUUCUUUUCCACGAAAACCGGCACUAGAACACCCCAAGGAGAGUGACUAGGUCGGAUGAAACUCUCAUCUACUAACUCCUGCAGUUGCUCCUCCAACUCAAAACUCUGCAGGUGCCAACCUGUAGGGAAGGAUAGAAAUGGUUCUGGGUCCAGACACCACUCCUAUUCCAAGCUCUAACUCCCUAACAGAUGGUAAACCUGACAGCUCGCCUAGGCAGACAUCUAAGAACUCUCUAACUACUACUGGCACUGAGGCUGGUUCCCCGACCUGACUGCUAAACUCACCAGCAGGAACUAGAACCCUCUGACAACCCCUCCUACGCACCCUAUGAGCCUGACAGGCUGACAUCAAACUUCUAGGCAACCUACACUGUCCCCUCAAAAGACUACCUCUGACCCAUCCUGUCCUCUGAACCUGGCCACCUAGUCUCUACGGACCAAGGUAGCACCACAAGUAGAAACCCAAUCCAUUCCGAGAGUGACGUCUGAACAUUCAAGUCCAAGACCUCAAAAUCGGGUGGAUGGAUUCUACCCUCAGUUGACACCUGAACUGAACCGGCAGACUGACUCUGCCUCAGAUGGAUCACACUUGGGUCCACUGACCCUGAGAGAACACUCUAGCCUAGAAGUUAUCAACCCAACCCCUCGACGAC
rnacentral:lncRNA from 1 species